UUCAUAAUGGCUGCCUUUCUGACUGGAGUGAGAUGGUAUCUUAGGGUGGUUUUGAUUUGCAUUUCUCUGACUGCUAGAGAUGGUGAGCAUUUUUUCAUGUAUUUGUUAAUUGAUUGUAUGUCCUCUUCUGAGAAGUUUCUGUCCAAGUCCUUGGCCCAUUUGUUGAUUGGGUUAUCUGCUUUUUUGUUGUUUAACUUUUUGAGUUCUUUGUAUACUCUAGAGAUUAGAGCUCUAUCUGAUGUUUGAGGGGUAAAAAUUGGUUCCCAGGAUGUAGGCUCCCUAUUCACCUCGCAUAUUAUUUCUCUUGCUGAGAAAAAACUUUUUCAGUUUGAAUUCGUCCCAUUUGUUGAUUCUUGGUUUUAACUCUUGUGCUAUAGGAGUCUUAUUAAGGAAUUUGGGGCCUGCCCCCACGAGAUGAAGAUGAGGACCAACUUUAUCUUCUAUUAGACGCAGAGUCUCUGGUCUGAUUCCUCAGUCUGCCAUCUUGAAAGCCUGACCGUGCAGAACCCCUGAAGCUCUCCUGGGAGGAACCAUCACCACCUUCAGAAAGGCCACCUUGACUUUGGUCACUUUACAGGGGACAAAAACCAACUCUGUUCUUGGAGCCACGAGGGCCACUCCUUUAAGUGCCAAAAGGCGCCCCCUUACAGGAACCCUGAAUUCCACCUCGGAGCAUCAAUACCUCCAUGAACCAGGCUGCAUAUAUUUACAGAGGGAAUCAUAUCACCCAUUUCCCUGGUGGUAAAGGGAGAAGAUGACCAAGGCUCAUCAGUGGAUGUGUCCUGUCUUGUGGAAACCCUCACAGUACUUCUCUGGGAGCUCGAGGACGGCCUGGUGCCUGCCCUGCAGCAGGGGAACACCCCCUAUGUCCAUGGGGUUUUGUAUUUGUACCAAGAUUUGGCCAGUACCCAGAAGGCUCUGGAGCUGCUGGGUAAAAGGUAUGGACGCCUCCAGCCAUAUGUUGAGGAGGAGUACCUUCAAGACAAGAAAUCAUGACUCACCAGAGUAAUUAACUGGUCUAACAAUAUUGAAGUUAGACCAGUUAAUUACUCUGUAAUGGACUGAACAGUUGGAAUAAAAGGAAGAGUUCCAAGUUUUGCAUUCCAAAUAGAAAGCUGUGCCUUGGGCUGGGCUGUAGCUCAGUGGCAGAGUGCUUGCCUAGAAUGUAUGAGGCACUGAAUUCAAUCCUUAGCACUACAAAAAAAAAAAAAAAAAACCAACUAAACAAAGAAAGGCAUGCUGUUGAUCUAAAACUAUUAAAAGAAGAAAGAAAGAAAAGAAAAAAAAAAAAGCUGUGCCUCUUGAAUAAUUAGUCCCAAUGAGAAUGCAAGGGAAAUGUUCAUAAAGAAAAUUAAAGUGCUGCUCCAGGGCAUAGGUGAAUGAUAAGAAAGCAAAACAGCUGAUAGGGAUAAAGUUUUCAUAGUCUGGAGAACAGGUGAAACAAGCCACGUUCCCUUAAGCCAAAACCGCAUCCAGAUAAGGCCCAAACAUUAGAUUUUUCUGAUGCCAAGAGAAGGGAGAAAGCUCCAGAAGAAGUCUGAAGGUGGCAGAAUUUGGUUCAUGAUGUUCGAAGCAAGCGGCCCAUCUCCAUAUAAGACAAGUGCAGGGUGAAGCAGAAAUUGCUGAUGUAGAAGCUACAGCAAGUCAUGAAGAAGAUCUUGCUAAGCUAUCUGAUGAAGACGCGAUAUGGUUGAGUUUCUCGGUGUCCCCCAAAAGCUCAUGGGUGAGACAAUGCAAGAAGGUUUAGAGGGGAAAUGAUCCUGUUAUGAGAGCCUAAAGCCAAUUAGUGAAUUAAUCCCCUGGCAGGAUGAACAGGUGGCACAGAUAAAAUGGGGUGCCCACACCCUCCCCAAGCCUGGAGGUGUAGGCGCCACCUGUGGAGGAGUCCAGUUGCAGUGUGGAAGUGAACAGCAGCCACCCUCAACGUUCCACAUUAGGGUUCCACAUUGGAGGUUCCCAGCAACCAGCGGCAUCCCUCUGCGGGCAGGUCGUUCAUCAGGGAGCCUAGGCGCCCUAAGGCCCUUUGGGGAGUCCAGUUGAAUCGGUGGCUGCAUGGAAAUAGGCGUCCAAAUAGGAGCAUCCUCAUCCAUUGGCGGUGGCGGGAGUCUGCUUCCAGUGCAGUGGAGGUGUUGGCAGCAUUUCUGGUGGCCAGGUCGGGACUCCAGUGGCCACAGUGUGGAGCGCUGGCUGUGGCGACAGCGACAGCGUAGGGCAGCGGGCCUCAGAGUCAGAGGGCGACCAGAGGAUGGGGUGCCCUGUGCUGUGGCUGCCCCAGGCCACUUGUCUUGCUCCUGGCAGGGCCUGCCUGCUCAGGAAGCAGGACACGGCAGGCGGCGGUACCCACACAGCCCCUGAGGACCUUAUGCUGAGCACGCAGGCGGCGCCUGGCACCGGCACUGAGCCCCCCGGGUGGCAGCUCGCCCCACCCCGGGUUCGCCCUGCCCCUCCCUGGGUUGCGGCCUCUGCGGGGGAAGUAGGCCCGCUGCCAGCCGGGGCAGCCUUUAAAGAGGACACCCACCCUCCCCAGCGACAUCUCUCCUGGGCUGUGGCCACUGAGAGCAGAGGCAGUGGGGGGUGGGGCUACAAAUCCUCCCCCUCAAAGCGCAUCCCUGGGGCGGGACAAGAGUGGAGGGCAUAGAUGGCAGAGGGAACCCCAAGACGUGCCGUCCUUGGUCUUGGUCUUCUGCCACCCUUAGACAAAGAAAUGUACUUUAAAAAAAUUAAUUAGCUCUAAUUAGUUGUACAUAACAGCAGAAUUCACUUUGGUUCAUUGUACAGAAAUGGAGCACAGCUUUUCAUUUCUCUGGUAGAACACGAUGUAGAGUUGCACCAUAUGUGCAGUCCUGCAUGUACCUAGGGUAAUGAUAUCCCUCUCAUUCCACCCUCUUUCCUACCCCAUGCCCGUCCCUCCUAUCCUUCCCCUUUGCCCCAAGUUCCUCCAUUCUUCCCUUGCCCCCCUCAUUAUGGAUCAGCAUCCACUUAUCAGGGAGAACAUUCAGCCUGUUGUUUUUGAGGAUUAGCUUUUUUCACUUACAUAAUAUUCUCCAACUCCAUCCACUUACCUGCAAGUGUCAUAAUUUUAUUCUCUUUUAAAGCUAAGAUUCCAUUGUGCACAUAUACCUCAUUUUCUUUAUCGAUUUAGCUCUUGAAGGACUUCUAGGUUGGUUCCACAGUUUACCUACUGUGACUUGAGCUGCUAUAAACAUUGAUGUGGCUGCAUCACUCUAGUAUGCUGAUUUUAAGUCUUUUGGGUAUAGAUUGAGGAGUGGAAUUUCUGGGUCAAAUGGAGGUUCCAUUCCACGUUUUUUGAGGAAGCUCCAUUCUGCUUUCCAGAGUGGUUGCACCAAUUUGCAAUGCCACUAGCAAUGUAUGAGUAUACCUUUCCCCCCACAUCCUCACCAACACUUAUUGUUGCUUGUAUUCUUGUUAACUGCCAUUCUGGCUGGAGUAAGAUGGUCUUAGAGUAGUUUUGAUUUGCAUUUCUCUAAUUUCUGGUGAAGUUGAACAUAUUUUCAUAUAUUUGUUGAUCGACUGUGUAUUUUCUUCUGUGAAGUGUCUGUCCAUUUCCUUAGCCCAUUUAUUGAUUGGGUUAUUUAUUCUUUGGGUGUUGAAGUUUUUGAGUUUUUUAUAUAUCCUGGAAAUUAGUGUUUUAUCUAAUGUGUGUGUAGUAAAGAUGUUCUCCCACUCUGUGAGCUCUCUUUUCAUAUUAUUGUUUCCUUUGCUGAGAAGAAGCUUUUAAGUUUGAAUCCAUCCCAUUAUUAAUUCUUGAUUUUAUUUCUUAAGUACAGGGUCUCUGGUCUAAUUCCUAGGUCCUUGAUCUACUUUGAGUGUUUGUGCAAGGUGAGAGAUCGUGGUUUAAUUUCAGUCUGCUACAUAUGGAUUUACAGUUUCCCCAGCACCAUUGUUGAAGAGGCUAUCGUUUAGCUAAUGUAUGUUUUCGGCACCUUUGGCAAGAAUGAGAUAACUACAUUUAUGUGGGUUUUUCUCUGUAUCUUCUAUUUUGGACCAUUGGUCUACAUGUGUAUUUUGGUGCCAAUAGCAUGCCGUUUUUGUUACUACAGAUCUGUAGUAUAGUUUAAGGUUUGAUAUUGUGAUGUGUCCUACUUCACUCUUCUUGCUAAGGAUUGCUUUGUCAAUAAGGAUUUCUCUGUGUCUAUUUUUCCAAAUGAAUUUCAUGAUUACUUUUUCUAUUUCUAUGAGGAAUGUUAUUGGGAUUUUAAUUGGAAUCACAUUAAAUCUGUAUAAGGUUUAUGAUAGUGUGGCCAUUUUGACAAUAUUAAUUCCAUGAGGGAGGAAUUGGAAUCAGGUACCUGCUCAAAAGGGGAGGGAUCCGAUAGCCAUGCCCACCUCAAAAUGGCAAGGAAUGCUUUCCAAGAUGUAGUCGGUGUGCUUCCAGAGCCGGGGUGUCUGGUGAUGUCAGGGGAACCGAUGGCCUUGUGCUGUGGGGAGGUAGCAGCUGAGUGACCUGCGUGGGAGUGGAGCGAGUCUCGGCGGUCUGCAGAUGUGUUGGUAGGUGGUUCUGCUAAGGCGCUGGCCAAGUCUUAAGUGAACUGCAACUUUGGCUUUGGGUCCUGCUCGGACACUGAGGCCCUGAGUCCUGCGCGAGGUCACAGCGCUGGUCAUUUCUGUAGAGAGAAGCUGUACAGGGGCCUCUAACACUCUCAAGAGAUGCAGAAUUCCUACUAGGAGAGAUCUGGAUCACAGAGCAACACAGAUGCUGCUUCCCUCUGGUCCGCCAUCUUUGAAAGUCUUUUCAAUUUCUUUCUUUAGUUUUCAUUGUAUAGGUCUUUCAUCUCUUUUGUUAAAUUUAUACCCAAAUAUUUCAUUUUUGAGGCUAUUGUGAAUGGGAUAGUUUUCCUAAUUUCUCUUUCAGAGGGUUCAUCACUAAUAGAUAGAAAUGCAUUUGAUUUAUGAAUAUUGAUUUCAUAUCCUGUGACAUUGCUGAAUUUGUUAAUAUUAGAAGUUUUCUGGUGGAGUUUUUUUUGGAUCCUCUAUGUGUAGAAUCAUGUCGUCAGCAAAUAGGGAUAGUUUGAGUUCUUCUUCCCCUAUUCCUAUCCCUUUAAUUUCUUUCAUCUACAGCUCUGUCGUGUAGUGUAAGCUGUAGUGGAGUUUAAACAGCAGUAUAGUUUAAACUCUGGCUAGAGUAUCAGGGACUAUGUAGAGUAGAAGGUGAGAGAGGGCAUCCUUGUCCUGUUCCAGUUCUGAGAGGAAAUGCUUCCCAUCAGAAAUGCACUUUGAGGAUGAAGAGGUCCUAGUUCCUCUGCUCUCUCCCCCCACAGCCCAGGUGGGAUGUCUCUUAGGAAGGUGGGGGUCCUCUCCCAAGGCUGCCCCACCUGGCAGAUGGCCUAGUUCCCCUGCAGAGGCCACAUCGGGGAUGGGGCGAGCAGCCACCCGGCGGGCUCAUGGCCAGUGCCAGGCGAGGCAGGUGUGGGCAGCCUAAGGUCCUCAGCAGCUGCCUGGGUAUUGCCACCCCCCUCGUGCUGCUUCCCGAACAGGCCGCUCAGCCAGGACCAAGACCCAGGGCCUGGAACGGCCACUGCAGAGGCCACUCCAGCCUCUCGUCGCCCUUCCACUCUGAGGCUCACUGCCCUGCGCCCUCGCUGCCGCCGCCAGCCUGGAGCUCUUCACUGUAGCCACCGGACUCCCCACAUGGUCGCCAGAUGCCACUGCAGCAGGAUUCCUGUUACCCCAGCAGGAUGAAGAUGCUCACCACUGGACGCCUCUGUGUCCUCAGCCCCGUUUCCAGACUCUACUGGUGCUGCCGCCACCGUGCAGCAACCAAACUCCCAAACCCCAGCUGGACUAUGAUGCUGCCCACCAAGGGCCCAACGUCAAUGCCCUUCACCCCCCGCCAUGAUGCCUGACUCCAGUGCCCCAUGCCGGCUCCCGGAUGAAGCUGCAUGUUGCUGCUGCCACCACCAGACUCCAUCAUGGACGCAAGACAGCGAUACUCAGCACUGGAUGCCCACUUCACCCACUGCAGCCUGCCGCAGUCUGGCUGGGCACAAAUGCCGCAGUCUGGCUGGGCACACAAUCACGAGCCACCACACAGCUUGUAGAUUCAAACAGCAACUCUUUAUUCCCGAACUCACACCAGCCGUCUACAAUCACGUUCUGGGGAAAUCCACGUUCUCUGCCCAAAUCCACGUUCUCUGCCCAAAUCCACCUCCACUGGGCUUCUAUCUCCAAAAUAUACUGUCUAAAUCCCGUGAGAACUCAAGGGGAACUCAGGCAGCAGGAUACGCCCUAUUCCCAGCAGGAAUAAUCUUAAACCUUAAACCUGGAACCUAAACUGGGAACGCCCUAAACACGCUUAUCUUAAAACCGGGAACACCCUAAUCUGCCUUGGUCCUUGAGCAAGGUCACGUACAUUCAAUGUCACUGCAACAUGGGGUACGCUGGCAAGGAAAUUGUCAUACCUACUUGGCUAAUGGCUCCCAGCAGCAGCCAGACUCCUGUGGCACUGCAAGACAGAAAUGAUCAUGGCAACAUCCCUCUGUUGUCACCACGGCAGCUUCUGGACUCUUCUGCUGCCACCGCCACUGUGAGUAUGCAGCAAGGGAUCUCCCAAACUGCAGCUGGAUGCCAACACCUCAGCUGUUGCCACCCCCACGCCAACUCUCAACUCCGGACCUCCCUCGCCUGAUGCCCGACGCCUGAAGCAGCUACAUGUUGCUGCUGCUGCCACCAGAUGCUACCACUCCAUGAGGCCUCUUCAGUGAUUCCAUCCCAAAGAUGCUGCUGUGCUGCCCAAGACCACAGAAGCUGGGAAGUUGGGUAGUCUCCAUCGCAGUCGCCUCAUCAGUGCCCACCGGUUGCUUCCUGCCUUUCCUCCCCCAGGACCACCCACCAGUCCUUCUGGGCCCUUGAGUAGGAGUUGUGCUGACUCAGGGAACUCAUCCAAGGAAAACAACUGACCAUCAGGAAGAAGGAAACAGCAGAGAAGCUUGAGGAUCAGAAGGACACUAGCCCUGCUCUGGUCACCCUGGAAGCUGGCUAGCCUGCACACACCAAAGCUUGAGGAAACAGCAGCCCUGCUUCAGCCACUUGAGGGCUGGCUGAUCAAUGCAAGGAGGAAAAUAAACUAAGCAACAGGACAAAUGGACUGUUUCGUCCUGUAAGAGGGCUCCCAUACUGUGGUGCAUUGCCACCCCUUACUUCUGUCAUAUGCACAGUCCUCUCCUUGGUCUUUACUACAGGACUGACAACCACCAAACACACAGCUAACCCAUAAUGGGGGGCGGGGCAAGGGAAGAUGGGAGGGACUUUGGAUUGGGCAGAGGGGAGUGUGGGAGGGGAGGGAUAUGGGAGUGGGAAGGAUGGUGGAAUGAGGUGGAUUGUAUUAAUCUAUGUACAUGUAUGAUUGCAGGAAUGGGGUGACUGUGCACUGUGUCUAACCAGAGAAAUGAAAAGUUGCCUCCAUUGGUGUUUAAUAGUCAAAAUGCAUUCUGCUGUUAUAUAUAACUAAUUGAAAAAAAUUCAUAAAGGACUAAGGCUUAAAAGGAAGUCUGGACACACCCCAGCCACAAAACUAAUGAACCCCAACAAACCCAACACAUAAAGAUCCAAAUCACAGCAGAGAGGAAUCAUCGCUGCCCUGGGAUGGGGAUCUCCCGAGGGCCCCGGCAGGUGAACCCGGCUCAUCCAUCCUUCCCCCAUUGCCUAGGUGUGUCCAGAGCUGCCCAGUCCACUGGGGCUGGGAGGAGGGUGCCACCUCCCCACUCAGGUACAUUGGAUGGUACCCGAUGGUCUCAGGUUUGGACCGCGUCUCUCCAUCUAAUGUCUUUUAAAAGUCUUUGACCUCCUCCUUCAUCCCUUCAAGCCUGUUCCCCUCUUCCCAUGGAUCCCUCCAUUCACUGAAUGCCUGAUGAGCCCUACAAGAAGGUGGGUGCAGGCUCCUCAUCUCAGGAAGCUCCCAGGGAGUCCCCCGUUCCCAGUUGCCUGAGGAUCUGUUGGGGCUCUCUGCCUGGGUUUUGGCUGACGGAGCGAGGAUAGCCGUGAUGUGCCCCUUCCAGAUCUGGAGCUCAAACCACAUGGUUUCACCCUCUCCUUUCCACUGCCAUGGCAACCACAGUGGCUUUGUGUGCAAGACGGAGUCACUACAAGCUGAAAAGGUCUGAACGUCCUGGUCCCACCUGGAGGAGAGCCACCUGACCCAUAUUGCACUGUGUGACUUGAGCAAGAAAGUAUCCUGGGAGCCGGGGACGUAGGCCAGGGGUAGAGAACAUCUGUGGGGCCCUUAUCUCAGUCUUCAAUGCUGGGGGGAAAAGGAGGGGGGACAAAGAACAAGAGGGCUGAGGAAAUAGCUCAGAUGUGGAGCCCUGCCUAGCAGCUCAAGGCCCUGGGUUUGGUCCCCAGCACUACAAGAAAGAAGAAAGAGGAGGAGGAGAAGGAGGAGGAGGGAGGAAGAAAGAAAAGAAGUUACCCUGCAUUGUGUUUAGCCACUGAAAAGCUGGGGAUGUUUGUUACAACAGCUGGGAUGCUUGUUACUUAUCCUAAUACAGGCAAAAGGAGCACCUUGACUUCUGUGGCUGGGUCACAGCGUCUGAGAGGGCUUCUUGCCAGGCAGUAUAUGACCACUGAGGCCUAAUACUAGCUGGGAGAUGGCAUGAAGUCAGAGAAGGGAAAAGAUACCCAAAGCCCAAAUGCCUGACAUUCAGUAGGUGUUCAGUAAAACUGGUGGCAUGAGCAAAAUACACGAGAACAUUAGAAGAGCUUUGUAAUGGUGGCCAAUGUUGCCGGAGGCCCAGAAGAUGAGCAGGGUUCGGGUGGGGUGGGAGUAGAGACAAUCAGCCUCAAUUAGCCUGGGAGUCCAUACCUACAAGUGAGAAAGGGCAGGCCCUGUCCAUGGGUCCGAGGAGAGUGAGCAGUCACUGGUGCCCUAGAGCAGUGGAGAUGAAGCUGGAACUUGGAGGCUCCCCAAGGCCAAGCUGAAUACUACAGUCUGAGGUCUAAAAAGUGUUUUCUUCUUCUUCUUUUUUUAAUAUUUAUUUUUUGGUUAGACACAACACCUUUAUUUUGUUUAUUUAUUUUUACAUGGUGUUGAGGAUCAAACCCAGGGCCUCGCGCACGCUAGGCGAGCGCUCUACUGCUGAACCACAACCCCAGCCCUAAAAAGUGUUUUCUUUGCAGUGACAGGGGUGGGCCCCAGGGCCUAACACAUGCUAGGCAAGUGCUCUACCAGUGAGCAGCACCCCAGCCUAAAUGACCUUAUGUUUGUCAAAAGUAGCAACGAUCACAGCCUUUGGAGUGGGCUCCAAAGGGGUGUGUGUGUGUGCGCGUAACAAUCUAUUGGGAUAUAUGUGUAAAUAAUAAAAUUCCUAUUGACAUUCUU